UGGUUUCGACACUAAAAUCCUUUAGUGUCGAUGUUUAGGUUUAGGGUUUAGGGAUAGGAUUUAGGGUCUAGGUUUCCAUAAAAUCGUGUGCUAUAGCUCACGGGUGGCAAAAAAUGCCAUAACGGCCUCCCCGGUCUAAAACGAAGGUGGCUGGUCGGAUACAUAAAAUUGGUUGUUUGGCCACGAAAAUGUGUGAUAAAGCUCGCGGAAGGCCAAGAACCGCUUUAAGGUGCUCCUGGGACAAAAACACGUGUGGCGGAACGCGGACAUAAAAAAGGUCGCUGGGCCAUGUAAACGUGUGUUAUAGCUCACGGGAGGCCAAAACAGCCUUACCAGUCUUAAUGGUCAAAUCAUGGGUUGCGGACGGGAGGCACGAAAUCGCUGUUCGAUGACAAAAACAUGUGUCACGAGAGGCCCUAAAACCUAAACCCUAAACCCUUAACCCUACAGCUUGUGGGAAGCCAAGAACAACUUUAAGGUGCUCUAGGGACCAAAACGCGGUUGGUGGAACACGUACUUAAAAAUGGUUGCUCGACCCUGAAAACGUGUGCUAUAGCUUACGGGAGGCCAUAAACAACCUUAGCAGUCUCAGUGGCCAAAUCAUGGGUGGCGGACGGGAGGCAUGAAAUCGUUGUUUGACGAUGAAAACAUGUGUCACGGGAGGCCAAAAAUAGCCUUACCGGCCUCCGGGGACCAAAAUGUGUACUAUGGUUUGGACACUAAAAUUCUACUAUGUCAGCAAAGUUGAUAUGGUUAGGAGACUCAAAUUUCAUUUUACUAUGGUUUCGACACUAAAAUCCUUUAGUGUCGAUGUUUAGGUUUAGGGUUUAGGGAUAGGAUUUAGGAUCUAGGUUUCCAUAAAAUCGUGUGCUAUAGCUCACGGGUGGCAAAAAAUGCCAUAACGGCCUCCCCGGUCUAAAACGAAGGUGGCUGGUCGGAUACAUAAAAUUGGUUGUUUGGCCACGAAAAUUUGUGAUAAAGCUCGCGGGAGGCCAAGAACCGCUUUAAGGUGCUCCUGGGACAAAACCACGUGUGGCGGAACGCGGACAUAAAAAAGGUCGCUGGGCCAUGUAAACGCGUGCUAUAGCUCACGGGAGGUCAAAACAGCCUUACCAGUCUUAAUGGUCAAAUCAUGGGUGGCGGACGGGAGGCACGAAAUCGCUGUUCGAUGACAAAAGCAUGUGUCACGGGAGGCCCUAAAACCUAAACCCUAAACCCUUAACCCUACAGCUUGUGGGAAGCCAAGAACAACUUUAAGGUGCUCUAGGGACCAAAACGCGGUUGGUGGAACACUUACUUAAAAAUGGUCGCUCGACCAUGAAAACGUGUGCUAUAGCUUACGGGAGGCCAUAAACAGCCUUAGCAGUCUAAGUGGCCAAAUCAUGGGUGGCGGACGGGAGGCAUGAAACUGUUGUUUGACGAUGAAAACAUGUGUCACGGGAGGCCAAAAAUAGCCUUACCGGCCUCCGGGGACCAAAAUGUGUACUAUGGUUUGGACACUAAAAUUCUACUAUGUCAGCAAAGUUGAUAUGGUUGGGAGACUCAAAUUUCAUUUUACCAGGUUUAGUGUUUAGGGAUAGGAUUUAGGGUCUAGGUUUCCAUAAAAUCGUGUGCUAUAGCUCACGGGUGGCAAAAAAAAUGCCAUAACGGCCUCCCCGGUCUAAAACGAAGGUGGCUGGUCGGAUACAUAAAAUUGGUUGUUUGGCCACGGAAAUGUGUGAUAUAGCUCGCGGGAGGCCAAGAACCGCUUUAAGGUGCUCCGAGGACAAAAAGACGUGUGGCGGAACGCGGACAUAAAAAUGGUCGCUAGGCCAUGAAAACGUGUGCUAUAUCUCAUGGGAGGCCAAAACAGCCUUACCAGUCUCAAUGGUCAAAUCAUGGGUGGCGGAUGGGAGGCACGAAAUCGCUGUUCGACGACAAAAACAUGUGUCACGGGACGCCAAAAUAGCGUUACGGGCCUCGGGGGACUAAAACAUGUACUUUGGUUUGGACACUAAAAUUCUACCAUGCCUGCAAGCUUACUAUGGUUUGGAGACUCAAACUUCAUUUUACUAUGGCUUGGACACUAAAACCUUUUAGUGUCAGUGUUUAAGGUUAGGGUUUAGGGAUUGGAUUCAGGGUCUAGGUUACCAUAAAAACGUGUGCUAUAGCUCACUUGUGGCAAAAAAUGUCGUAACGGCCUCUCCGGUCUAAAACGUAGGUGGCAGGUCGGAUACAUGAAAUUGGCUCUUUGGCCACGAAAACGUGUGCUACAACUCAUGGGAGGCCAAGAACAACUUUAAGGUGCUCUGGGGACCAAAACGCGGGUGGUGGAACAUGUACAUAAAAAUGGUCGCUCGACCAUGAAAAUGUGUGCUAUAGCUUACGAGAGGCCAUAAACAGCCUUUGCUGUCUCAGUGGCCAAAUCAUGGGUGGCGGACGGGAGGCAUGAAAUCGUUGUUUGACAAUGAAAACAUGUGUCACGGGAGGACAAAAAUAGCCUUACCGGCCUCCGGGGACCAAAAUGUGUACUAUGGUUUGGACACUAAAAUUCUACUAUGUCAACAAAGUUGAUAAGGUUGGGAGACUCAAAUUUCAUUUUACCAUGGUUUCGACACUAAAAUCCUUUAGUGUCGAUGUUUAGGUUGAGGGUUUAGGGAUAGGAUUUAGGGUCUAGGUUUCCAUAAAAUCGUGUGCUAUAGCUCACGGGUGGCAAAAAAAUGCCAUAACGGCCUCCCCGGUCUAAAACGAAGGUGACAGGUCGGAUACAUAAAAUUGGUUGUUUGGCCACGGAAAUGUGUGAUAAAGCUCGCGGGAGGCCAAGAACCGCUUUAAGGUGCUCCGCGGACAAAAACACGUGUGGCGGAACGCGGACAUAAAAAUGGUCGCUGGGCCAUGUAAACGUGUGCUAUAGCUCACGGGAGGCCAAAACAGCCUUACCAGACUCAAUGGUCAAAUCAUGGGUGGCGGACGGGAGGCACGAAAUCGCUGUUCGAUGACAAAAGCAUGUGUCAUGGGAGGCCCUAAAACCUAAACCCUAAACCCUAAACUCUACAGCUUGUGGGAAGCCAAGAACAACUUUAAGGUGCUCUAGGGACCAAAACGCGGGUGGUGGAACACGUACUUGAAAAUGGUCGCUCGACCAUGAAAACGUGUGCUAUAGCUUACGGGAGGCCAUAAACAGCCUUAGCAGUCUCAGUGGCCAAAUCAUGGGUGGCGGACGGGAGGCAUGAAAUCGUUGUUUGACGAUGAAAACAUGUGUCACGGGAGGCCAAAAAUAGCCUUACCGGCCUCCGGGGACCAAAAUGUGUACUAUGGUUUGGACACUAAAAUUCUACUAUGUCAGCAAAGUUGAUAUGGUUGGGAGACUCAAAUUUCAUUUUACCAUGGUUUCGACACUAAAAUCCUUUAGUGUCGAUGUUUAGGUUUAGGGUUUAGGGAUAGGAUUUAGGGUCUAGGUUUCCAUAAAAUCGUGUGCUAUAGCUCACGGGUGGCAAAAAAAAUGCCAUAACGGCCUCCCCGGUCUAAAACGAAGGUGGCAGGUCGGAUACAUAAAAUUGGUUGUUUGGCCACGGAAAUGUGUGAUAUAGCUCGUGGGAGGC
rnacentral:lncRNA from 1 species